rnacentral:rRNA from 1 species
ACGGGUGAGUAACGCGUAAGUAACCUGCCUCUUAGCGGGGGAUAACUAUUGGAAACGAUAGCUAAUACCGCAUAAAAGUCGACAUUGCAUGAUGUUGACUUGAAAGGUGCAAAUGCCUCACUAAUAGAUGGACCUGCGUUGUAUUAACUAGUUGGUGAGGUAACGGCCCACCAAGGCAAUGAUCACUAACCGGACUGAAAGGAUGAACGGCCACAUUGGGACUGAAACACGGCCCAAACUCCUACGGGAGGCAGCAGUAGGGAAUCUUCCGCAAUGGGCGAAAGCCUGACGGAGCAACGCCGCGUGAGUGGAGAAGGAUUUCGGUUCGUAAAGCUCUGUUGUAAGAGAAGAACGAGUGUGAGAGUGGAAAGUUCACACUGUGACGGUAUCUUACCAAAAAGGGACGGCUAACUACGUGCCACCACCCGCGGUAAUACGUAGGUGGCAAGCGUUGUCCGGAAUUAGUGGGCGUAAAGCGCGCGCAGGCGGAUUGAUCUCUCAGUCUUAAAAGUUCGGGGCUUAACCCCAUGAUGGUAUGGAAACUGCCAAUCUAGAGUAUCGAGAAAGGAAAGUGGAACUCCCAGUGUCGCGGUGAUAUGCGUAGAUAUUAAGAAAAACACGUGUGGAGAAAGCCUCUUUCUCUACCAUAACUGACUGCUGAGACGCAAAGCCAGAGCAGAGAAAGAUGAUUAAUCUGCCGGUCGUCCCUGGUCCGCAAAC